UACGGGGGGGGCAAGCGUUGUUCGGAAUUACUGGGCGUAAAGGGCUCGUAGGCGGCCAACUAAGUCGGACGUGAAAUCCCCGGGCUCAACCUGGGAACUGCAUUUGUGACUGCAUCGCUGGAGUGCGGCAGAGGGGGAUGGAAUUCCGCGUGUAGCAGUGAAAUGCGUAGAUAUGCGGAGGAACACCGAUGGCGAAGGCAAUCCCCUGGGCCUGCACUGACGCUCAUGCACGAAAGCGUGGGGAGCAAACAGG
rnacentral:rRNA from 1 species